rnacentral:tRNA from 1 species
GGCGGAGUAGCUCAGUUGGUAGAGCGGGGGACUCAUAAUCCCUGAGUCGACAGUUCAAGCCUGUCUUUCGCCA